CCUACGGGUGGCAGCAGUGAGGAAUAUUGGUCAAUGGACGAGAGUCUGAACCAGCCAAGUAGCGUGAAGGAUGACUGCCCUAUGGGUUGUAAACUUCUUUUAUAUGGGAAUAAAACGUUCCACGUGUGGGAUUUUGUAUGUACCAUAUGAAUAAGGAUCGGCUAACUCCGUGCCAGCAGCCGCGGUAAUACGGAGGAUCCGAGCGUUAUCCGGAUUUAUUGGGUGUAAAGGGAGCGUAGGUGGAUUGUUAAGUAAGUUGUGAAAGUUUGCGGCUCAACCGUAAAAUUGCAGUUGAAACUGGCAGUCUUGAGUACAGUAGAGGUGGGCGGAAUUCGUGGUGUAGCGGUGAAAUGCUUAGAGAUCACGAAGAACUCCGAUUGCGAAGGCAGUUCACUGGACUGCAACUGACACUGAGGCUCGAAAGUGUGGGUAUCAAACAGGAUUAGAUACCCCAGUAGUC
rnacentral:rRNA from 1 species